rnacentral:rRNA from 1 species
CCUACGGGAGGCAGCAGUGAGGAAUAUUGGUCAAUGGGCGCGAGCCUGAACCAGCCAAGUAGCGUGAAGGAUGACUGCCCUACGGGUUGUAAACUUCUUUUAUCAAGGAAUAAAGUGCCGCACGUGUGCGUUUUUGUAUGUACUUUAUGAAUAAGGAUCGGCUAACUCCGUGCCAGCAGCCGCGGUAAUACGGAGGAUCCGAGCGUUAUCCGGAUUUAUUGGGUUUAAAGGGAGCGUAGAUGGGUUGUUAAGUCAGUUGUGAAAGUUUGGGGCUCAACCGUAAAAUUGCAAUUGAUACUGGCAGUCUUGAGUACAGUUGAGGUAGGCGGAAUGCGUGGUGUAGCGGUGAAAUGCUUAGAUAUCACGAAGAACUCCGAUUGCGAAGGCAGCUUACUAAACUGCAACUGACAUUGAUGCUCGAAGGUGUGGGUAUCAAACAGGAGUAGAUACCCUAGUAGUC